AUAAUUCUUAGUUUUAAAAUUUAGUUAUAUAUUAAUAUAUAUUAUACAGUUGUUAUUACUUUUUUACAUAAGUUUUAUUCUUGCUUACUUACUCAAUUUUUGUUAAAAUUAUAUGAUUCUUUUUUAAUUUUUAUUUUACAGUAAUAGGUAUUAUACAUUAUUUUUAUUAAGUUAUACAAUUAGGUUGGAUUAAAAUUGUGCCAGCAUUCGCGGUUAUACAUUUUAUUUAAUUGAAUACUUUAGGUUUAAUGAAAUUUUUAUAAUGUUAAUAUUUUUAUUUUAGUUUGGGUGGAAUUAUAGUUAAUUUCUAUUCUCAUGUUGAAUUUUUUAAAAAUUAAUUUUUAAAACUAGGAUUAGAUACCCUAUUAUUUUUAUUUAAAUUAUUUAACUUGAAUAUUAUAGUUUAAAUUCUUUUAAACUCAAAGAAUUUGACGGUAAAUUAUUUUUUUAGAGGAAUUUGAGUUUUAAUCGAUGAACCACGAUAGUUUAUGCUUGGUUUCUUAUUUGUAUAUCUCUAUAUUUUGGAAUGUUUUCUAAAAAUAUUUUCUUUCAUUUUAAUAAAUUUUAUAUUAGGUCAAGGUGCAGUUUUAAUUUAGAUAAUAUGAAUUACUUUAAUUUUAUAUUUAUUGGAUAGUUGAUUUUAAUUUUUAUUUAAAAUUGAAUUUAAUAGUAAAUUUAAAUAAUUAUUUAUUUUGAAUCUAAUACUAAUUUAUGUACAUAUUGCCCGUCACUCUCAUUUUAGUUGAGAUAAGUCGUAACAAAGUAAUUUUACUGGAAAGUAAGGUUAGAAUUAU
rnacentral:ncRNA from 1 species